rnacentral:tRNA from 1 species
UCUAGAAUAGCUUAAAUUUUAAAGCACUGACUUUGUAACUCAGAGAUAAAAAAAAUUUUUCUAGAU